GGAUUCGUAGCUCAGCUGGUAGAGCAUUUGCUGCGAUUGGACAUGUUGUUUCUGUCGCUGGUUCGAAUCCAGCCGAAGUCCA
rnacentral:tRNA from 1 species